UACUUUAGCCAACAACUUCCAAAGUGGAUGAUGCCUACAGAAAUUUCGUCCCUUGGAAGCUUGAGGAAUCUAUGGAUGGAAGACUUGCCUUAUUGCACGGAGCUACCUGAUGGCUUGUGGCAGCUCCCCAGCUUGGAGUUCCUAUAGAUUAAAAGCGCCCCAGGCAUCAAGCGUAUUGGGCCACACCAUCAUGAGCACCCAAGCCCUAUGGAAAACGUUGGUUCUGAUUUGGAAAUUGAGGUGGUUCGGUGUACUGGCCUCAAGAGGAUCAGCAAUCUGCCAAAUUUGCAGAACCUUAUAUGCCCAGAGUUGAUGGUACUAGAGGGUUUGCCUGCACUUCAGAGACUCGUGCUGGCGGAUUUCUCUCGCUGCUCGCUUCCAUAGCUAAAGGGAAAUCUGGCCCCGAGUGGGACAAGUUCAGCCAUAUCAAGCAUGUGAAGGCAUAUGCACAUGAUAACGACAACAACAUUAAAAGGAAGUGGUACGUCAAGUACACGAGAGAUCAUUUCAGCUUUAAGACAAACAUCAGCGUCUCUGCUGACGCCUCAGGUAAAUUAACACAGCUGCUGCUUUAUACGUGCCUACUGAGUAUGUACCUUUCUUGCUAUUGGAAUAUCUCGUCACUUGACUGGAUGUGCCGUUUAAUUUCAGGGGAUGAAACGGAGGAAGCGUUGUUGGACGAAGUGGAGGAAACUUCAAGGAAUGAAAUCGAAGAAGAACUUGUCAAUGUGGAACAACUGAGGGAGUAAUAGAGUAUGCUACUACAACUUGUUAUUAGUUGCUUGUUAAGCUGUGCCUAACACUGCCAAUUAUAUAACGCAUAUGGACGACCUUGCCUGCACAGGUGGAGUGUCCGUCUGUGACCUAUAUGGACAGAAGGAUCCUUGGAGUGGCCAUCACCUUGACUGAAGAAGUAUCAAUGCAGAAUUUGUGUUGCGAUUUUGUUCACUUCUGUUAGACUACAUUUCAUUUUGAGGCGGUCAGAUAUUCGACAUUGCAAAUAAAAAGAGACUGGAAUGUCAUGUGAACUUGUUCCUUAAUUUUUCUUCAAUGAUUUGUGUGCACGUUACUGUUCAAUUCUGAUGCAGUUUACCAGUUGUGAACUGAGAGGCCUAUAUGUAUGUAAGUUGACUAGUAACAGAACAAACUAAUGUUGCAGUACAGCUUCAUUAAGACGCUUGCUGAUUCACAGUGAUAUAUCUAUAACUCUUAUGAAGCAAAACUUCGCUAGCUAUUUCUCAUGGCAUGUAAGGCGUCCAUUUCAGUAGUCCACUAUCAUUUGUCACUAUUUACUUUUGACAUUCAAGUUGUCCAACAGUCCAUUAUCAUUUACAAUUAAAGUUCACUAGCAAAAGCAUUAUAAUAUUCAUGUCAGCGAGAUACAUCAUCCACUAUGGAUACAAUCUCCACGUUUAUGCUAAUAAAUCUAUAUAUAUUAUAUCAUAUUCUUAUAUUAUAAACACCAUAUAUAUGAUUCCUCCUUACUUAUGGCAACGCGUGGAGAAUCUUUUUGUAAAUGCAAGUUGCCAAUAACUAAAUGUAUAUAACAUGGUUCACCGAGUUUUUUGAUUUUGUCAAGACUCCAAGUGGGUGUUUGAGGCUGUGAACUGCUUCUAUAUAUCAACACGUAACAUAACCUAAUGCACAACAUGUUCACUCCUGAAUCAAUAAUGACUAGCAACUUAUUUAAUUAGUACAGGCUUGAAAUUUCUCUACGCAGUUGCCAAUAAUAUUUAUUUCUCAGGGCCGUCUCUAUAAUUUUGAGGGCUCUUGUGCAAGCAAAAGGGUAAGAGGCCAUCAAUUUUUUUUGAUAUGUCAAAUAUAUAAAAUAUAUGGUACAACAAAAAGAAUUAAUUUGCACAAUAUGUUUUAGUUUAUAAAAGGUAAUUAUAGUACAACAAAUAAAUAAAUAGAAUAGAAUUAGAAAUUUAGAACCCUAUCACGGAAUACUAAUAACAAAAUUGGUGAAGUCUCGAUCAGCCAUGCCCUUACUCUUCGUGCUCCCGUGUCUAGUAGUGACAUCGUGUGCGAACGUGUGGUGUUAGCGUGUCAUGGAGCCACAUUGUUGCAUUGGACGAUUGGGCAAUAGGACGAGAAGACAAUAAAGAGAGGAACAUUGAUUUGCUCAACUAAUCGAUCAAGCAAGAAUAUGAAGCAACACUAGCAAUAGGUGGAUGUGGAUGACGUGCUGAUUAAUGAAUUUCUUUUUAAAAUUAAUUAACGAAUUUCUAUAGUGUUUAUAUAAGCCUCCAAAAAAUUAGAUAAAUCUAUAUACUAAAUAUUACAUAUAUAUUUAUAGGCCCCUUAGCGCCAUGGCCCUCCGGCCGUCGCACCGGCUGCCCACCCCCAAGAGACGGCCCUGUUAUUUCUCUACGGUCGAAUCGUAGCUUGCAUAAGAGACCAGCCGGAGAAAUACAAUUUUUUGACUGUUUUCAUCUGAUACCUAAAUAAAAUAGGACGUAUAAGAAUUUCUGAGAGUGCUACUUUUGCUACUACUCCCUCCGUCCAUAAAAAAUAUAAUUCACACAAUUCAAGAAGUCAAACAAUAUUAACUUUGACUGAAAUAAUAUGAAAAUAUACUAACGCCAAUGAGACAAAAUAAGUAUCAUUAGAUUAGUUACAGAGUAUACUUUUAUAAUAAAUUUAUUUCAAGACAUAAAUGCUAAUAUUAUUUACUAUAAACUUGCUCAAAGUUAGACUCGUUUGACUGAUAUGUUUCUCAUAAUUGCAUUUUUUCUGGACAGAGGUAGUGCAUGCUAGCCAUCUAGGAGCGCGGGAGAAGCCUCCAUAGCGGCGGCCAGCUCGGCUCUCGCUUAGGCGACGAAGGGAGGGGCCCGCGCGCCUAGCUCGGUGGCUAGGUCUGCGCUCGCCCAGGUGGUGACGGGAGCGGGCCCACAUGCCCCCGCGGUGGGCGUUCCACUGGCAGGAGCUUACCAGGCAGAGUGGGAGCCGGGGCUGAGGCCGGGCCCGAAGGUGUUCCUCCAUUGUGCGAUGGUCCACUCGUCGCUGCUUCCUCUGGCCUCAGAUUCGAUGGAACAGAUUUGGGGAUCUAGCGACGACCCGGUCAGGCCCCUGCGCACGCACGCCUGCUAGGCCAGGCCAGGGCUGAGUGGUCAGUAUGUCGCGCCUAGAAGACAGAUCUAGUGGAUCCAAGGCAGAUACAAUGAGGCCCUGUGCACCUAUGCAUGCACGCCAACUAGACCAGGCGGCAAUUGGGUGGUCGUGGCUACAGUCGGAAGGCGAUGGGCCACAUGACGGACAAGCCUUCCAUCUUCUCUGAGGAGCAAUUCAGGGCUGGGGCAGCGGCGGCUGACAGCUAGGCGUGCUAGCCUACGGCGGCAGCUGGGUAGACAACUUCUUUGUCGUCCUCGUCGCCAUCGUCUCGGUCAACCUCCUCAGUGGUGGUCGGCAAUUGUUGUUGUUGUUGUUGUGAUGGUGGUGGUGUUUUCUUCUCUUUGUUAAGGUGUGAAUCAAAGUGUUCUUGUAUCUUUUUGGCUACAUAUAUCCUUCAUGGUUAUAAAGGCUGGAUUAUUAAUUAAAAUUCACUAUCUAGAAAAACAUGUGAGCCAUCCAAGGUUAUCAAUUAUCCAUCACGUAGACAUGACCUAAUCUUGCUUGGGCCGAGCGGAGCAUCCGCAAGAUCCAUCCACCUUGGCGCGACAUACUUGCUCAAAGCAAAAAAAGCUAGCCACGACAUACUAUGCCGAGUCCACUAAAAAAAUAAAAAAAAAACUUGUUGAUGAGAGAGGCGUGAGAUAUGUUAAGGUCAAUCUUAAUGAUGGUCUUAUGACCUAGUUUUCAACAAACAAGCAAAAUGCAUGCAGUGGCCACAUAUUGGUGCGCUGGGUGCUGAUGGUGCGGGGGGCGGACGCAUUGGAAACCCACCAGUUAGAAAAAUGUUUAAAAAGAGUGACCAAGUUCGAGCCUUUACAUAUGAACAACUCGAGCGCCAUGAUUGGUUGCAGUUGGAUACAAACAGUAAAGCCAUCGCGGCAAAGCCAUCGAUGUAUACAGAACGUAGAAGAGAUCUGCUUUCACACAACGGUGAAUAAUAUAUACAGAAGGUAGCAACAUCUAUAUGGUGUGGCGGUUAAAACUCCUCCAUGAUAUAUAUAUAUAUAUAUAUAUAUAUAUAUAUAUAUAUAUAUAUAUAUAUAGUAUACUCUGUAGCUAGCUACCGAAUAAGAUAUUCUGUUGUAGCCAGGUCAUCCCACGCACCCGCUCACCCUUGGCGCGACCAGGCAGCGGACGAGCGCGAGAUUCCUGGUCCUCUUGGCUCCUGGCUCCCGGCUCCCAAUCGGCACAGCUCGCCUAGUUACGGGAGCCGCGCAUCACACUGCCGUUAAAUCAGGCUGAGUAAUAGAUCAGCGACAUGCAUGCAUCCUUGAUUAGCGAUGGAUUUUUUCCCCCUGCUUAUCCACAGUUAUAUAUGUCCAUCGGGCCGUGCCGGCCCAACAUGACACCGGGCCACAUCGGGCCACCGUGCCGCACGGGCCGUGCCUGUGGCGUGCCCGUGCCGCGCCUACGGCCCAAGGCACGGUCCGUGGGCCGUUUUGUCGGGCCGUGCCACCCGGUGAGCCCGGCAAAUUUCACCGGACCGUGCUGGCCCACAACCCGAAGAUCAUCUAGUGACUCAGUGAAUCAGUCAUCAGUGAUUAACUAAGACACACAGAAAUACAGGAUUUACAGAUUCACAGAUCAUGAGAUCAAAGAACAAGACAGAUUAAAGAGAUAAUAUAAUUAACUUUACUGAGCUGUUUUGUGCAAUGCUGCCUCAUUAAAAACCUUGCUAGGUAAAACUCACCCUUGUGAGAAACUCUAGCAAGGGAAAAAGAGUGCAGCCAGCUCCAAAAUGUUAAGUGUUUAGGACUUUAGGCUAUCCUAUUACAAAAUGUCAACUGCCAAGUGCCAAACUGCCAACUCAAUGUUUCAAAACUGCAUGUCUAAUUGUCUAUCACUCUAUCCUAUUAGGCUAUUACAAGAUCAACUCAAUGUGACCAACAAUAUGACAAUAUCAGACUUGAAGAGUUGAAGUUGCAGUGCAGACACCAGACAGCCAGACUACAAGAGCAGACCAAAAGCUCCUGCUGUCCUGCACAAUGUAAACAGGUUCUUGUCAAAUUCUUACUCAUUCUAAUAAUCUAAAUAGCUAAUUGCAUCAAUCUAAAGUUCUAAAGUUCUUACUCAUAUUCAUAUCAAUGUCAUCUUCUAAACAAAUGUACUCCCGCUGCCGCUGCCAUUUCCGCUGCCGCUGCCGCUUCCUUGAGCUUGACCUUGUUCGUCCAGGUAGAGGUUCUUGAAUGCAUCUACCAGGUCAAUGUCUUCAGGUGUGUGCUGCUCCCUUGUUGCUCCUAGCUCCCAGUCCUUGAUGCAUGUGAGCAUCUCCACAUGCUCAGGCAACAAGCGACGGCGCCGGUCCUCUAGUAUCCUGGAGGUACAACUGAAACACGACUCGGAAGAAACAGUAGACACAGGGACAGACAUGAUAUCUCGAGCCAUAAUAGAUAGGAUUCGAUAGGUAAGCUUGUGAUCACGCCACCAAAGGAGUAUGUCAAAGGAUUCCUCAUAGCAUGUGACAGGGUCACUGUCCAGGUAAGCACUGAGCUCACUAACAGCAGAUGGAGUAGAAGAGGAUGUGGGGGAACAGGCAGGGGAGUCACCAGGACCUCCAAAGAUCCUUCCCCAUGCCUGUUUUCUCUUACCAGCAUGAGCUGAAGGGACUGCAAGCCUCUAAGACCUAGCUGCACCAAAUUUAUCUUCAUACUUGCCAAACAUUUUAAACAUUUCAUCUUUGACUUCACCAUAGUAUAAACUAUAACUACAUCCAGUAGCCUUACCAAGCAGAUCAAGUACAUUAUAGAAACCUUUCAUCUUAGCUCUAGGAUCAAGAAUGAAUGCAUAUGAAUAAAUGAGUGGGAUUUUCUCCCAAUAUUUAAGGAAUUUCAGUUUCAUAGGAGUAGAAAUGUUUCUGAAGCCUGUAUCUUUUUCAGCUUCCUGCAAAUGCUCAGCAAUGGCAAGCAAAUGGUGCAACACAAGUAGAGCAGUGGGAUAAUAAACACCAGACAAAACAACAGUACAAUCAUAAAAUAGUUCCAGGAAUGCCAUGAUUUGUUCAGCAUUAUGCCAAUGUUGUGGAGUCAACAAAGUAGAACCAUAAUUAGAGUUAAUGAACACAUUGAAUACUUCCUUGUAUGGCAGCAAGUGCUUGAGCAUCAAGUAAGUAGAAUUCCAUCUAACAUCCAUAUCUAAGCCAAACUUUCUAGGUCUAAGACCCUGAGCAUUGCAGUAAUUCUUAAACAGAGCAAUUCUUUGAUUAGAGGAAUUUAAAAAGUUGAUUGCAGUUCUGAAAUCUUCAAGAUAAGUUUUCACUCUCUUGAAGCCAGUUUUGACAAUCAAGUUAAUGAUGUGGCAUGCACAGCGUUGAUGCACAAGCAAGUAUUUCACUUUGUUUGGAUUCUCUCUUGUAGGUGCAGGGUAAGAACCCAAAUAACCAAAGAAAACAGGUUGCAGAAUCUCAUGAGCUCUAGUAUUAGCAGAAGCAUUGUCAAGAGACACAGAAAAAAUCUUAUCCAUCAAACCAAACUCAUCAACAACACUAGCAAUCCUAUCAGCAAUAUUUUCACCAGAAUGUUUAACCUCAAUCAACCUUAAACCAACAACUUUCUUUUGUAACUCCCAGUCUUUACUAACAUAAUGAGCAACAACAGAAAUGUAAUCCUCCUUGGCAUUACCAGACCAAAUAUCAGAUGUCAACGAAACAGAGGAUGCAGCAGGCAACACAUUUUUCAUAAGCAAAGUACGCUCUUCAUCAAACAGUUUAGACAUAUCUCUAGUGGUGGUCUGCCUAGAAAUCUUCUCAAAUAGAGGAUUAUGAGCACGUCUUAUAUAAUCCUCCCAAGCCUGUGUCUCACCUAUCCCUAAAGGAAGGUCUAACCUAGCAAUCAAACGACACAACUCAAUGCGAGCAACCAUAGGAUCAUAAACCCAGUUUUUCAAACCAUCAGGAUUUAGAGCAAGUUUAGACUGGGUCAUUUUAGCAUGAUUCUGUUUUUUCAUACAGGAUUUCAUGUGCCAUCUCAAAUGACCAGUACCAUUACCAGAUCUAGCAGUGUACUUCGAACGACAAUGCUUACAGAUUGCAGCAAUUCUAAUCUUAUUCGUCGCAUCUUUAACCUCAUGAAAGUACGUCCAAACAACAGAAGUUUUCUUACCAGAGGUACCUCCAGUGUUAGCGGGGCCGGCAUCAUCGUCGUCCUCGCCGUCGAGGUCGAUCGGCUGGUUGCCAUUGAUGCCAUCCAAGCCAUCACCGAGGUCGAUGCCGAACAACGCAGCUGCGUCCUCACGCAAGUCGUCGUCGUUCUCGUUCUCCAUCUCCCGCUCAUCGUCCGAGUUUAGUGCUAGGUCCUCGCCGUCGACAAGGGGGCGGCGCUGAUCCGCACCGGACCCCUGCGUUGCGAGGCCAGCAAUUUCACCGGACGACCGAGACUGAGAAUGAGACUGAGACUGAGAGAGCCCUCCAACUCCAGCACCGCCCCUCGACGGGCGCUUCGGUGGCCUGGCCAUGUUCGCCUCCACUCCAGAGGAGGAAGAGGCGGCGUCAGGCACCACCAACCUGCCAAGUGCCAAGAAAUGGCGAAGAAGAGUCAGAGUCAGAGAACACCGAGAGAAAUGAAGUUAGGGUUAGGGUUACCUGUGCGACCGGAGCCCGGUGCCGGAGCCAGAGCCGGAGAAGAAGGAUCAGAGAAGUAGAGAACACAACAAACGAGAAACGACGGCACGCGGUGGCGGACGUGGAAGAUGCACACAAACUCACAUGCUUCACCGGAAAAUAGAGAGGAGUGGAGGGGAAAGGAGGGAGGGACCGAGGGAGGAGAGCUGGAGCCGGAGAAGAAGGAUCAGAGGAGGGCGGGUGGCGGCGAGCCGACGAGGCGACGCCGCGACGAGGUUGAACCGUGGAGGAGCAGCGGCCGGCGACGGAUCGAGGAGACGAGGAGACGAGCGAUUGCAGCGCGGGCGCGCGGCGCAGUGGAUGUGGAAUGAGGGAGUUAGGGUUAGGGUUACGGGGCGUCCGCGCGCGCCCCUUAUAUAGUGGGCAGUGGCCGGGCCGGCUUGUCGGACCCCUAUUUUAGCCGGGCCGUGCCGGCACCGUGCCACGGGCCGGGGUGGCGGCCCAGGCACGACCUGGUGCGUCGGGCCGUGCCGGCCCUGGCCCGUCGGCCACCGGGCCGGGCCGGGCGGGCUGCGGGCCGGGCCACCGGGCUCCGGGCUGCAUGGCCACAUAUAUCCACAGUCAACGAAACGACCACGUGCAUGCAUCAUUGGCGUUCACGUGGGCCUAUAUGCAUAGGUGACCACACCUUCUGAAAUUACUAAAAUAUUUUAAUGUUUAUGAGAAUACAUACCUAUUCAUAGAAUCUUUAAUGAGUUCUCGUAUUUGUUUCAAAGAUUACGAGAAUACAACUUCUGAAAUUACGAGAAUUUUGUAUUGUAUCCCAAGCAGCAGUUUAUAUUACCAGAACAACAUAGGCUAUUAGGAUGUAAAAUUACCACAAUUUGGCAUCUUGAUGUUCCAACUCACUUGGUAGUAAAAUGACGAGAAUAAUUUACAAUGAAGUAAUUACGAUAAUUUUAGUGCCUAGAGACAGGGAGAUACCACAAUUAGGUGUCGAAAAUUUUCUAAGGAUCUAGUUACUAUAACGGGGAGGUCAAAUUACAAUAAACCAGAAAUACAUUAUUUAUGAUAUUUUUGUUGGAGAAUUGCCACAACUUCCUAUCAAGUCGCUAUCAGAAAACACUUACAUUUCUUAACAAAUGAGAAAGAAACCACUUACAACAUUUCAGAAUAUUGGAAAUGAUAAUUAGGCUGUGGUGUUACAUAAAAAUUGGCAUGAAAGUGAUUAAAUAUUUCUCAAAAAAAAAACUUGUAAAAAAUAGAAACAGUACAUCGAUCUAUUUUUCCAUCAGAAUGAUACUAGGUCUCCACUCAUUUUGAACGAUUCAAGGACGAUCAAGAUCAUGCCAUAUGAGCCUCGGGUCCAGCUCGAAGCUGCUUAGUCAGUGUUCAGUGGAUGCAAAAGCAUGUAGAAGUGCAGCUCUAACCCAAACUUGGGCCCCUUCUCGUGCAUCUGUGGUGAAUGAACAUUAGAACGAAUAACGCAUCAGUGAUUUGCAUUAUAAGUUAACCAUCAUACAUGAUAAGUCAUUAACAAAAACAAAUGAAUUUACUGUAACCUUGGCCUAAGUAACCACCGGAAUUAAUUCCAUUAGUUCAGUUCUGGUUUUCUAGAUCAAAUUGAUUUCAAUCUGCAAUGGUGAAAAGUAGAAAACAUCACUGAGAAUGGGGGUCUCACUGGCAAAAUAAGAAAGCAAGCUUGUUUCAAACUGCAGGAGCAAGAAAAAUUGAUAGUUGAGCCAUGUACAUGCAGGAUCGUCAAUUGGUUGACACAGUUACCAUAACACAGAAUUGGUUACUAGAAGAUUGAUAUGUUAUUUACAAUAAUUUUGUACCAUAACAGUAUCUAAGUUACAAUAUAUAAGUAAAAAAUAUAGUAAUGCCACAAUGGUUUACAACAAAUUUUGAAUAUGAUAUGAUGCUUGUAACAUCAAAAUCUAUGUUACGAUGUAAGUCAAAAUUUUGGUCACCAGAUAUUUAAAAUGGACACACAAAACCUGCAAGUGCCUAAAAUUGAUGGCAUGAAACAGAAUUACCAUAAGACAGUGAUGCUUAUCGAAAGGAUUGGUCUACACGAAUACACAGAAAACAAGGAAGACUAGUGUAUAUGAUUUAGGCCUUGUUUAGAUACAUCCAAAAACCCAAAACUUUACAAGAUUCUCCAUCACAUCGAAUCUUGCGACACAUGCAUGGAACAUUAAAUGUAGAUAAAAAAGAUAACUAAUUACACAGUUUACUUGUAAAUCACGAGACGAAUCUUUUAAGCCUAGUUGCUCCAUGAUUGGAUAAUAUUUGUCAAAAUAAAAACGAAAGUGCUACAGUAUCAAAAUCUAAAAAAAUUUUGAAUCUAAACAAGGCCUUACACAGGAAACCAGUAUCACAAAAUCGCUGAAACCAUGAACACUGACUGAAGUAACAGCUACCUCAAUCCAAAUGAGAACCAAAAUUAUGGAAUCUGGUAAGGUUGAUUUCAGAAAACAUGAGUAGAACAUGAACUCUAGCAUAAAUUGUGGUAAUUCACACUCAUAAUUAACAUGUCGAGCUAUUCAACAUAUCGUAACCAUUUCUUGCUAAUUUAGCAUAAUAUGCAGUAGUUGUUAAUUCUUAAUUAUCACUUCAAGUCACCAGACUUAUCGUAACUAUUGAAUCUUAAUUAUCAUGCUGAACCAUCCAACUUAUCAUAACAAAAGCCAUUUUGCAGUAAUUGGUUACGAUAAUACAUUUAGGUGAUCAAGAUAUGAUAAUACAUUUACCAGAAUAGCAUUAUCUACUUACUACAAAAAAAAAAACAAAUAUAGCACAAUGGAGUCAUCGGGUUACUGAUAUUGAUAUGAGGAAGCAAAGAGGGACCAACAAAUAAGAAAUCAUGCUUGUUUGAAAAUGCAGCCACAUUAAACAUUAGGAAUAGUUGCUUAUUUCUUGGCUAACAGAAUGGGGUCGAGAUGCAUAUGGUCUAGCAAGCAGUUGUUGUUCGCGCAAGCAAGGAGCCUCCGUUAGCAAGCAGUUGUUGUUCGCUUGUGUCGGGUCCCCCGUCCACGCGAGGCAAGGGCGCAAGGCACCGCUGCUGGAGGACGCAUCGCCGCCGAGGGGCCAGUCCGCUCGGUGCGGGACGCAGCGACGCGGCAAUGCCGAGGGGCGGAUGGAGGCACCACAGCCAUGCCCUGCCGCCUGCGGAGAAGAAGGAGCACCGCCGGCAGCCACCAUCUGCCGAUCCGCAUCAGCUGCGACCGUCUGACACACACCGCAUCAGCCGUUGUGGAAGGCCGCCGCCACCACCACCAUGGGAGGCCGGAUCUGCUAGGGGAAGAGGUGGUUCCGCCGAUCUAAAUCUCAGAAGAGUUGGGGCAGGUGAUGCAGAGGCCAUUGCCGCCGGUGUGGUCGGGGUUGUGGAGGGCCCGUCCGAGCCCGGCGUCGCCUUCACGGGGGAGCAGUGCCAGAUAUCUAGCUUCUACGGUUUUCUCGGAAUAGACAAGCGAUGGAUGGCUCGGGAAUGUCCAUAUGUGAAACCGAGCCGGGAGGGUGUGGCGAGUCUAUUUUACGCACAUUAAUUAAUCUUAAUAACAGGGCGAGAGCGGAGCUAAUGGGUUUAGAACCAAACCCGCACCAGUCAUCCCAUCCGAAUAAAACAACCAAUGGGAAAACCCUAUUUUCAAUGGCCUUUUGUCCCGAUCAAACGCCUCUUCGUCGCCGCCGUCCUCGACCUCCACGGACCUCGUGCCUCCUAACUCCUAUGGCUCCGAGAUUCCGAGAUCACCGAAGUGGGAACGUGCGCUACGCACCUGGGAGAUGGAUUUAGCAUUCAGCGUCGACGCUGUGACCGUGACUUACAUUUCCGAUCGAGGUCCUGCACCUCUGUUGCAACUCCGCCAGGUCCGACACACGCUGGAAUCUUCUCGUCGCCGCUCUCCUCCUCAUCCAGGUAGCCCCUACAUCCGCUUCCCUAUCGUGCAUGCAUGCUGCUUUUGUUGCGCCAGCCCUAACCAGGUCCAGAUCGAUCCGUGUGUCUACAAGGACUGCUUGCCUGCUUACUUCCCAUCAAACACGGCACAAGCCUAGCACAUGUGGAUUCAAAGAUGCUUCUAUUUCCUUUUCCUUCGUCUCCCUCCUACCCAAAUCUGAUACAUGCCUUGGUUUCAUUUUUACAGAUUGAAGUACCACGUACAUGAUACUCUAAUCCUUAUUUUUCAGAUCUAUCGAAGUCGGAGUAUUACUUGAUACUUGUUCAAUAUUUAAUAUUACUUCAUGCAGAUUUGUUUUUCCUAUAGGUUGGAGUACUUGUCACUUAUACUGGAUUGGCGACUUCUGGAAGCAUCCACCUCUACAAUCUAGAUCUAUUAAUCACGAGCAUAUAUGUGGAGACGACGUUGCAGGCAGAUGGCCAAUGUUGCCUGUUCUCUGAUGCACCGCCGCUGCCCCCCUAUUGUCUAGUUGAUGGUUAAGAUAGCAGCUGAAUGCGUCGUGAACUUGCCAAAUAGUAUGGCUACAUAGAGUAUGAAGUACGUAUACAUACCUACGGUAUAAAAUACGUGUACAUACUUAAUUAUAAACUAUGUGUACGUACUUACAGUAUAAAAUAUGUGUGCUCUGCUUUCUAUAUAUAUAGGAUGUGUUUUUUCUACGCGCGCGUGUAGUUACUCUUAUCUAUAUAUCUCUAGAUUUAAGGUGUAUAUAUAGCUGGCUACAAAAUAACAUAUUCUGUAGCCACUUUAAGAUACGAUAAUAACUAUGUUAAUUUAUGAGAUUAUAGUAACUUCUUACUAAGUGCUUUGCUAUAAUGUUACGGUAAAUAUCUCCAUGUGUUAUAGUAACCCAACUAUAGUAAAUAUGUAUACAUAUUAUCGUAAAUUAGUAUAUAAAAUCAACGUAAAUAGAAGUGGCUACAGAAUAACUUAUUUUGUAGCUAACUACUGAAUAUAUAUACUCUCCAUAUAUAUAUAUAUAAUAAGUUAUUCUGUAGCCACCUCUAUUUACGAUAAUUUUAUAUAUUAAUUUACGAUAAUUAAACAUAUUAAUUCUAUGUUGAACCCACGCCUCUCCCCCCGGCCAUGUCACCCGGAAUUCCUACAUUCAGCCACGUCGCCCUUAAUUCCCAUCCACAAAAGCCUCUAUCCCCAAUCGUCAUUGGAAAAAGAAAAUGAUCCCUCCGUCCUCGCUCCCGUCGCCUCCCCAACCCCGCACCUUCGCUGCCGCCACUCGCGCCUCUGCCCUGACCCCGCGGCUGCCCGCGCCUCCCUCUUCUUCUCCCUCUCCUCCUGACAUGAUGGGGCACCAGCUAUGCCCAGCGCGGCCACCUCGACGCCCUGCGUGUGGCCGGAGCGGCGGCACCCCUCGGUGUGCAGCGCAGCGGCCCAGACGGCCCGCGACGGUGGCUGCCUCCCGCCAUGGCGCAGCAGCAGGGGCGCGGGUGACCCCCUGCCCCCUGGCUCGGCGUGCCCUGCUCGCAGUACAUAUUUACGAUAGUUUGGUUACUAUAACACAUGGGGAUAUUUACCGUAAUGUUAUAGUAAACCACUUAGUAAAGAGUUACUAUAAUCUUAUAAAUUAAUAUAGUAAUUAUCGUAACUCAAAGUGGCUACAAAAUAAGUUAUUUUGUAGCCAGCUACAGAGUAUUAGUUCUAUAUAUAUUACUACACGCAUGUGUAGUUACUCUCAUCUUCAAUAAACCACAUUGUGUAUGUGUUCAUACUUAUUUAUCGGUUUUAGUAUGUAUAUAUACUCAUAUUAAGAUAUUCUAGAUCUUACCACACGAAAAUUUUUCAAAGAAAUUCAUAUUUUUAAUAUAUUACUAAAAUACCACUACUAUAUUAUAUAUAAUAAGUAUAACCGCUCGCCUCCCAAACCAGAUCAUGCAUGCGACCAGCGGUCCAGCACAACAUGGACAAAAAGUAGGACUAGCCAAUCAAGCUAGGCACCGUCGUUGUAAAGAUGUCAUCCACAAACCUAUUUAAUAAGCGCAGACAUGAAAAAUACCCUCUAAUUAAUCACUCUUUGGUAAGCGUAAUGAUGUCCUAAACGACUUCUAUUUUGUAUAUGGAGGGAGUAUAUAGGCUUACAUCCACCUCGAACAAACAUGAAACGUAAUUCUGAGAACAGAUGUGACGCAUCCCAAAUUAAAUGUAAAAGAUCAAUGCUUUAUUUCUUCCUCCCAGGCAACUGACUUUAUUUACCUUCUCUUUGUGACGGCCUUGCGUAUUUGCGUUUUUCAGGGCAUCUGUUCAUUUAGGGAAGUAGUAUAAGAAGAGCAUGACGAGCUUGUAUAUCUUCCUUGCUUCUAGCUCCAACAUGCUUUGUCGUACGUUUCCAAUUCUCAAUGGCCAAAAGCAAAAGCCCUCAGAUCAGGAUGGAUCCCUGCAAAGCCCCUAGAUCAACAUGAAGGUGAAUGUAGGUAUAUUGUACCCAAAUUAUUCGCAAAUGCCCUUAAACAGGGAACACAACAUUUUUUAUGCAUUUAUCUUGUGGGGGUGCCCUGUUUCCCAUCUCCAAGAUUUGUACAACGUGACCAUGGUUACCCCAUGUAAUACCCGAUUUUAAGGAUAAAACCAGAUAUGCACCAUAUGUGAGUCUUAGAAGUCAAAUCUCACAUAUAGCUACAAAUAAGGGGUAAUAUCAAAAGACAAUACAUAAAUAUAUAACGUAUUUAGUAUAAAAGAGAUAACCUUUGAUAACAAACAGCGGAUAGACAACUCCAAACUUCGGGUAUUAACUCCUCUCCACAGGAUCAAACUGAUUGGUUGAUCACAAGCCUAAAGCAACUCCUGAAGUGUGGGGGAAAUUGCAAGAGUGAGCACAUAUCGUACUCAACAAGUAUAACCAGGGGUUCAUGAGGCUCAAAUAGCUGACACUGGUUUGACUGCAUUUAGCUUUUAUAUGUAGAUAGCAUAUUUAUAUUUAGAUAGCAAUUGUCAAGCAUAAUUAAAUCCCAUAACCACAUGAUCAAAUGUAUACAAGAAUUAUGAAUAACACAAAUAAACAACAUAAUAAACAAUCAUUUGUCAUCAUUUAUCAUUUUUAUCAGUGUCCAUCUAUUCCGUCAGUUUUCCGGGCCGCCCGUAUCCGUGGGCACGGCUAGUAUACCAGAUUUAACACUCUGCAAAGGUUGUCAUCUUUACCCAUGAGUCAUGAUUUACCCUUUCGCCCGAGGUAGCUAGUCUCUUAACCCCCUUUCUAGAGAGGCCGGUAGGGAUCACUAUGAAGUCUUUCAAAGGUUCGUCUAACAAGUUAGGGCCGCUUGGUUUCAUUACUCAGUCUAUGUGAUUCACCCGCAGGAAUCCACGGUCUGCUAUUCCCCAAUUGCGCCACAACGGGUAACCGCUAACGAGCUAGAAAAGUUACUCAUACUUGACUAAAGCCAGAGCCAUAUAGCCCUCAUGGUUGUACGAGUUGUCCCAGCUUUUGCCAAGGGAUAAGUCCUUAUGGAGGGUCAAGAUCAAUCCAGCAAAAGCCAGAGUUCUUUCGUUCAAAUUGCUAGAAAGCUUAUUUUAUUGUUUAUUGUAUAUCCAAACAUUCAUGUUACAAGAUCAUGGAUUAUAUUCAAGCACUAGCAAGAACUACCCAAAUGCAUAUCCAAAAUAGGUAACAAGGAAUUCAGGAUAACAAACAUCUAUGAUUUUGCUACGGUCAUCAAGGUGGACACAUGCAUAUGAUAUAUGUAUAAAAAGUGUGUAGGUAACAAGGAUGAUCCCGAGUUAUACUUGCCUUGAUCAAAGCUCUCCUGAGCCUGCUGCUGGUCGUCAAAAGCUUGAUCUUGAUCACCAACGUAUCGCUCACCGUCUAUUCCUAAACAUCAAUCAACAACAGGCAAUCCAAUGUAGACAGUCAUACACAAAGCAAACAAGCUAUAAUUAGAACAUUACACCAACAGUGAGAAAUCAAAGAUAAAAGUUUAUAAAAAAUAUUCUACGCAGCGCUACGAUCACACAAACAUAAAGUUCACGAAAAUCGGAAUUAAAACAUGGAAGAUAUGAAUUUCCUAAGAUUUUAUAUAGAAAAGUAAUUAAUUAAUUAAGGCCACGAAAUUAAAAAGUUUACUAACAUGUAGAGCUCAUUAUUACGAAUCCAACGCAAUUUGAAUGGACCAAAUCGGAUUUAAAAUGAGCACUUUAUGAUCAAAAUAAUUCUAGUGGCAAAACUGUAAUUUCAGAAAAUGUAUUUUCUUUUAAACCGACGAAAAUACGCUUUUAAAAUUGAGAAAACGUAUUCAGCGAAAUAUGCGUCGGACUGCGGGUUGUUUCUUAAAAAGGGCAGGGGGUCUUUAGAAAAAUUGCCGGCCGAAGGGGUAUCGGCCAUUCUGGUCCACUAGAUCUCGAAUGAACGGUCAGGAUUAAAACAGGGGGACGAGAAGGGAACUGCCGGCCGGAACAGGGCCAGCGCGGUGGCGCCAUGGCCUGAGUUGGGCACACUUCGUCGGAGUUCAUGGUUAAAGCGAUUCUGAGCAUGAUUUGGAAAACCGAUUGCACGGGAAGCAAGAGGAGGGUACCGAGAACUCACCCAGGGCACAAUCGUGAGCGAAGAAGGCUUGAAACGACUCGGUGACGAUGGAUGGCGGACCGGGUGCUCUGCAGAAAGUUCGGCAUGGUUAACACUCGACAAGAAGCCAGAAGAGAGUACGGGGAAAGGCUCGAGAGCUUCGUUACUCGGUCACGGUGCUCGACAAGCGAUCAAAUUCGGUGGGACGGCAGCGAAACUCGAAACCCACGAUGGCGGCUUCGCUCUGCGCCUGCAGAGAUCCAAAUCGGGGGGGGGGGGGGGGGUUCUAGCGGCUAGGUGGCUCGAGGUGCUGCACGGAUGGCAAAGAGGAGUCGCGGAAGAGGGCGCGGAGUUUUAUAGCAACUCAGGACAUACAUUGGCAAGGAAUCCCGAGAAGUUCGGGAUUUUGGGAAACCUCGGUGCUGUGAGUCCUAUUCGGCCACGAUGAGGAAGAAAGGGAGGGGAGGAAGAGAUCUGAUGCGUGGGGUCAACCGGUCAGUGACUGAUGGCGUGGGGUCCGCGUGUCAACCAAGGGAAAGAGAGGGGAGGUGGGAGGGGGCGCACCGGGCCGGCUGCUGGCCAGCUUGGGCCGAGGGGGAAGAAGUCAGGCCUUCGGGCCAGAAAACAGAUGGAGAACUUUUCCUUUUCCUUUUGUUUUGUUUUCUUUUUAUUUCUUUUUAUUUCAAAGUCUUUUCAAAGCAGUUUCAAAUCAUUUUGAUAAUAUUUUGAAUUUGCUCAACUCACACAGUACAAAAGUAUAAAUGCUCCAGCAUGUAUGCACAUCCAUGUUGCUAGAUUCUAUGAUAAGUUUUAUUUUAAUGAAAAAUAUUAUUUCCCUAUAUUCAUGAGCACAAAAAAUACAAAAUUAAAUUAAUUUUCAUCUAUUUAAAAAGGAGCAAAAUUUUAGGGUGCUACACCCCACCUAGCUGUGAUAGAAAAACCAAUUCGACAUUGACUCGUUCGUACAUUCUAUAUAGGGAAUUAAUCUCUUAACAAUCACUUUCAUCAACCCCAAAAAACCGCUAGCGUAAAUUACAUUUACAGUAUCGGUUUACUUAAGACAACCACCGGUGUAAAUAGUGAAUUUAAAUUGGCGAUUUCCAUUAAACAACCACCAACGUAAAAUACACUAUUUACGCUAGCGGUUUUCUUAACAAAACCGUCAGUGUGAACCCAUUUGCACUAGCAGUUCUUGAUCCAGGCCCACAUAUUUUACACUAGGGGCGCUUGCUUCUUAUGAACCGCCAGCGAAAAAAUCGCUGUCAUCAAGAAAUUUAGAUUAUGUUCUAGUGCUUACCUCAAACUCGAAUGAAAACAUGAAAAAAAUUAAGAACAAAUGGACGAAAAAUAAAAAGCUUUACCUUGUCAAACAAAGGAAUACGUGCUCCAUGCAUGUUCGCAACUGACGCAUCACGCAUCCAAAGAUGCACGCCAUCGAAUUCCUCCCUGCUGGCAACUGGCUUUAAUUACCUUCUUUAGUUAAUCCGUGCAACGGCUCUGAUUAACCUCAGGGCAUCUUUAGUUAGAUCAAACGUUCAUGUAGCAGGGUGUGGCAACAUUUUGCUCUGCAAUGCACUGGAACAACAAGCAUGGGUAUGGAAAAACAUGACCAGCUCUGCAAUCACACAUGACCAGCUUGUAUAUAUUCCUUGCUUGUCGCUGCAACAUAUGCUUUGCCGUUUCAAAUUCCAGUGGCCAAAAGCAAAAGCCCUCCAGAAGAGAUCAGGAUGGAUCCCUUCGCAGCCUAAAGCAAGCAACAUGAUUCCAACGGCUUGGCCUAAAGCAAAAGCAGUGAGGAUACAUUCCUUCCUGGGCACAGCAAGCACGCCCUGCCCCCUGUGACCUUAUUUGGAUGCACAUAUAUUCAUCUUAAUGCAUAUAUAUUGCAUUGGAUCAGAUCGGAGUGAAAUUAAACUAAGCUCCAUUCUAAUCCACUCAAACAAAUGUAGAUUGUAGUGGAUACACAUGCAUCCAAACUAGGCCUGACCCGUCUGAAAAUGUAUCCCUUGCUUUCCGAUAGAUACAAUACAUGCAGCCUCUAUGUCUAUAAAGCAGGCCUCCUAUAGCUGCUUCUUCACGUCUGAUACCCCCACCAUAUCGCUUUCAUUCAUUCAUGUCACACACAACACUGCUGCGCUGAUCCAUCCAUCGAUCUGACAUCGGAGCCAACUGCCAAGCUUGCAAACUCGUCGAUCGUCUCGCUCUGUGUGACUGUAAGCACUCAACAUUAGUUCAGCAUGUACUUCUCCUCGAUCUGUUUCUUCUCCUUUUAUUUCAAAUAAUGAAAUAGAAUUGCCCUCCAUAGAGGUCGCAUUGAACCAACCACUGAUGAAUAUUAAGGUAUUUUUGUUUUAUUUGCAGAGUUGCAUUGAUUGCUUCCAUUCGUUGUGAUUCUAACCCAACAUCAAUUUUCUCAUAUUUGUUCAACGAACCACAAACAUACCAGUCAUCGUGGUUUCCAGUAAUACAAAAAUUGUAUGUUGCCCCCUUCCUCUAUCGCCGUCUGGUUUGCUUGAUUCAUCUGCUUCAUCUGUUGAUCGAACCAUCCGCUCUCUUGAUCUGUUCUCAGGGCACGUGGGUCCGUUCGGUGCCAGGUGCCAGUGGGUGAACUCCUCGAUCGUCUUGUUCUGUAAAUGUAAGCACUCCAUAUUCAGCACUGCUCGAUCUGUUAUUCAUUUCAAAUAAAUAAUACUAGUUAUUCGUAAUUUCAGAGUUGAUUGCAACCAUCCGUUGUCAUUCAAACUCAAUCUUUCCAUAUUUGUUUGGAUAAGACCGAUAUCUGUCAUCUUGGUUUCCAGUUAAACAAAAAAUUGUAUGUUGUCCCCAUGUCUGUUCUGUGCUGGUGUGGCUGAUUCAUGUGCUUCAUUUGUUGAUAUUAUAAAAGAUUUUUAUCCACAAGACCACAGGACAGUCAGAAAGAGCAGAUUUGUGCACCCGUAUUGUACUCAUUGAAAUAGUCACAGACACGUUGUGAAAAAACAUUGUUUGCUUGGGUGUGCUGGAGACACAAAAUAUAGAAUCAUGGUGUCCAGUGGACAAAAUCGAUGAAUGAAGUGUGCUAUGCACAAAUCUGCCUUGUGUUGCAGAUAAAACUAAAAUCCCUAUGUACACUAAAAAGAUUUACAGUGACCUAGGUGGGCAUGAAUUUCAACCGCCUCAGUUAAUGCCUGGCAUUAACCAAGGUGGUCAUUUUAUUAACCGAGGCAGUUACAAAAAUCACCUCGCAAAAUUUAUUAACCGAGGUAGAUAUACUAAUGUAACCAUCUCGAUAAAUCAUUAACCAAGGUGGACAUUUUAACUCCAACUGCCUUGGUAAAUCAGGACUAGCCCACCAGCCCAAGAGACCCAGUUCUGAAGUCACAUAGAUAUACAAGAGACUAGGGUUUCAGCCUCAGCCGCACUCCUCUCCCCAAGCGGAACUUCUCUCCCUCCCACCUCGCACAGUCGCACUGCUCUAUCACCUCACACAUACAAAACAACUCCUAAAGCGGCUAGAGAUGCUGGUUAUUGACAUAGUUAUGAUUAGAAAUAAAUAUAUAUUGUCAUAUUAAUGUAAAUAUUAAUUUAUAUUUUGAACUCCAUGAUCAUCAUAAAAUAAAUUAAUUUUAAAAUUCUAUAAAAACAAUAAAUGAAACUAAACAAAAAUAUAUAAUAUUAUUAUCAUUGUUUGUUACAUGUUAACAGUUUUUUCACCUGUUGUAACACAUGGGCAUAUUUGCUAGUAAUAGAUAAUGAGAACUUUUACUAGCAAAUAAACACCAAUAUUAGUUCAUCAAGAUUCAAAUAAAUUCGAGCGAGAAUGAUAAGAUAGAGCAUGAUUUAGGAAAAAAAUAAAGUAUUUUCAUAAUUUUUUGUGCUAAAACAAAUUUUCUACGAAUUUUAUAAGAUUUAUAAUUCCAUUUUUGGAAAAGUCACUUUUUAUUGUAGGAUUUAUAAAUAAUUUCAUUUUAUAAGUAAUUCCAUUUUAUAAGUAAUUCCAUUUUAUAAGUUUCUUUUUAUAAGAUUUAUAAUUUUGUUCCAAUAUUGUAGGAUUUAUAGUUCCAUUUUUUUCAUUCAAAAUAUCAGGAUAAAUUUUUGGAAAAGUUACUUUUUAUGAAUUUUGGUCAAUUUUAGAAAAUAAAUUUUAUCCUGAUACUUCGAUUUUAAUGAUAAGAUAUCCUGAUUUGUAAAUUUUAAUUAUGAAUCAUAAUUAAAGCUGUCCAGGGUGAGUUCAAAUGGUUUUGAAAAGUUGAGCGGCUCUAAGGCUAGUCUCAAUGCAUGUUUUAUGAUAGUGUCAUGCACAAUAAAUAGGGUGCCACAUAAGCUGUGUCUUGGUUACCUAUGAAACUCAUAUGGCUCGGUUAAAUGAAGGAGUUUCAUCAGAUGAGAGAAGAGUUCCAACCCCAUGAAAUUCAUAUGGCUCGGUUACCUAGUUUAUAAUCUUGGUAAAUGUGCCAUGAAACUAUGCAUUGAGACUGGAUAAAAAACAAAUUUUAUGGUUGAGAGGGGACCACAAAAGCCGACCUUUCUCGAACCUCCAAACACAGGACACACACCUACCGAUCAUGAAAUGCAUAAAAAAAAGCCUACAGGAAAAAAAACUGCCCUUGGAGCCAGGCCGCAUGCAGGUAGACGCAGCUAGUACAUUUGGGGUAGUUCAGGGACUUCCUCCAUCUCAAAUUAUAAGUCAUUUUUAAAAAAUUUGGAGAUUUAAAUCAUCCUAAGUUUAAUCAAAUUUAGAUGAUAAAAAAUAAUAUUUAUGAUACCAACUAAGUAUCAUUAGGUUUUUCAUUAAUUAUAUUUUCAUAGUAUAUCCACUUGAUCUCAUAAAUUUUUAUAAUUUUUUCUAUAAUUUUGAUGAAACUUGACAUGUUUUGACUCUCCAAAGUUCUUGCAAUGCCUUAUAAUUUAGGAUGGAGGGAGUAGUUUACAAAUAAAUAGCUAGAUGGAGCUUAGAAAUAAUAAUAAUAAAUAUUAUAAUAAGAGUUAUGUAAGCCAUGAGAGAAAGUUAUUUUUGGGAGAUCGUGGUAGACUAGCUAUUUAACUGUCAUUAGUUAUUUCUUCUGUCUCCUUGAUAGGUAAUAGAAUUCUUCGUGGACUAGUUAUGUGACGCCCUUAUACUUGAAAACCGUAUCCUCAUUGCUUCAAAAAUAACUUGCAAUAGUUGUAUUGAAAACCGAUAUCCAUCUAGUUAUGUAAGCUAUGAGAAAGUUAUUUUUGAAGCAACCCAUAACCUACGGUUUCUUGCAAUAGUUCUAUUGUAAAAAAAAUAUUGAGCGUGAUGCGAUCUAACUUUAUAGUCCACAAAUUUUGUAUUUGAUGAAGCUGUUCAGAGUAAAAGAAUUAGUCUGUCUGCCACUAGUCCACUACCAGCUCAGUUAACUAGGCGGCCAUGCGCAACAAUAAGGUCGCCUUGAGUUUCCCACACACCUCAUGUCUCCUAGCUCCCUUCUAUGUUUAAGCUGAUUCAUCAAGCUCAUCCGCCCCAAUCCAUCAAGCAGACAGUAGCCACGCCAAGCUUUCCGACCAUCUCAAACCUUACUUCCAGUUCCAUCCAGCCAUCGCUCAACAGGACCACAAGAUACCAAUUCGUCCUCGUUGAUAUGUACUAUUAUACAUAUAUCAAUCGCAAAUCUAACAAUUCGUCCUCUUGCUUUACUCCCAACAAGACCACAAGAGACCAAGGAACUGAAGGACACAGAGCACUCUGUGUUCCCGCUAAAAAUCAAGCUUUAUAAGGUGCAUACAUACUCCUCUUUCUUUCCUUCUUUGUUUCUCUGUAUUUUUGUUUCUUCCACGUACGGGCUGAGAUUGGUGUAGCUGCUCUCAAUUUUUAGGUGCCCCACUAUAUAAUAUGUAUAGUAACAUGCAUCGUCCAUGUAUCAGACUUCAUGAUAAUAUGAUAUUGACGUCUGAUACCCAUUAAUUUGUCAACUCCGUGCUUUUAGCUUCUGUUACUAUGUGCCAGAUCUGGAAUCCAAAAGUGGAUAGCCAACCAGAUCUGGUGUCAACCAACUGCUGCAGAGCUUCCUUUAAUUUGAAUAGUGCCAAGAUUAAUUACAGGGGGGCUCGAUUGACGAUUUUACCAUCAAGACUAAUUUUCAUUUAAACAAAUCACAUGACAUUUUUAUCUAUAUUGAUUUUGUAGAUACAGAACCUGCAAUGGCUGUGGUAUUGGAUGCUUUGGCAUCCUAUCUGCAAGAUAUGCUGGUGGAGAUGGUUGAAGAAGAGGUGCAUCUGCUCUUGGGUGUUCCCGAUGAGAUAGAAAAGAUGGGCAUCAAGCUCGGGGACCUCAAGAGGUUCCUUGCUGAUGCUGACAAGAGGAACAUUAGAGACGAGACUGUGCAGUCAUGGGUCAGAGAGCUUAGAAAUGCCAUGUAUGAUGCCACCAAUAUCCUUGAUUUGUGCCAGAUCAAUGCCAUGGAACGGGGUCCUACCAAGGAUAAGGGUUGCUUCAAUCCCUUGCUCUUUUGUAUAAGGAACCCUCUCCAUGCUCAUGACAUUGGUAAUCGCAUCAAAAGCCUUAAUAAGAGGCUAGAUGACAUUGAGAAGCGUAGCAAAGCCUUCAACUUCAACCUUGCAUCUUAUGAGGACAACACGAGAAUGGUAGAAUCCUCCCUUCGCACUAGGCGGGAGACGACGGGGGAGGAUGAGUUUGGUGUGGUUGGUGAGAAGAUUGAGGAGGACACUAGAAGUCUUGUGGAUUUGCUCAUAAAGAAGGAGAAAAAUGUACAUGAACACAAAAAUGUUAUGGUUUAUGCUAUUGUGGGAGUUGGAGGGAUUGGCAAAACCACCCUUGCCAAGAAGAUCUUUAAUCAUGACAUCAUCAAACAAGAGUAUGAAAAGAGAAUAUGGUUGAGUGUCAAUAAAGAAUUUAAUGACAUUGAUCUAUUAGAGAGAGCUAUCACUGAAGCACAAGGAGACCUUCAAGCAGCCAGAAACACAAAGGCCGCACUAGAGCGAACCCUUAAGGAAGCCUUGAAGGGGUGCAAGACCUUGUUGGUGAUGGAUGAUGUUUGGGACCCCCAUGUAUGGGAGAAGGUGCUCGAGCCUCCAUUGAUAAACUCACUUGCUCGAGGAAGCCGUGUUCUUGUAACAACGAGACAUGACAUGGUUGCUCGAGGCAUGAUGGCGGAGGUGCCAUACCACCAUGUCAAGAAAUUAGAGCAUGAAGAUGCCUGGUCUUUGCUGAAGAAGCAGGUCCGUACAAUGUCAAUUCAUGUGUCUUACGUGUUUUGUUUUGCAAGAAUGCAUUUUUACUUCUAAUAUGCAUAUCCUCCUGUUGCAGUAACUUCUAUGUCAUUAAUAAAUUUCUUUGCUAAUGUCUUACACCUUAUCUCGAAGAAAUCUUGGAUACUUUUUACAUGCACAAUGGCUAAUAGUAAUUUGCUAGAAGAUACUUAUAGUUUGAUGACAAGAGUUAAGUGGGGUGUUUUAGUGUUGGAAACAACUCAUGCACACUACUACAAAAAAAAAUUGCGAGGUGUUUUGGAAUUGGCCUCGGAGGCGAGCAACAAUUCAAACCGCCUCGGUUAAUGCCUAGGAUUAACUGAGGCGUACUUUUUUUAUUAACCGAGGCGGGCAUAUUAAAUUAACCGCAUCCAAAUAUCAUCUUUUUUCGGAGGCGGUUGGCUAAAGAUGUCCGCCUUCAAAAAGGCCAAGGCCCAAUAGGCCCAAACGAGUGCAAUACACAUCUUCUAAUACAAAUAUAAGAGAAUUAGGGUUUACUCUUCUAUCUCUAUCAGACACCGAGCAACACCGUUCCCCUCCCCUGCCCUUCGACACACCGAGCCCCAACGCCGCCCCUCCCUCUCUCUCCCUUCGAGACCUCCCUCUCCUUCUCCUCAUGAGCCCAACGCCGCCCCUCCUUUCCUCUCCCUCCGAGACCUCCCUCUCCCUCUCCUCGUGAGGACCAAGCCCAGCUCUGCCCCUCCCUUCCUCUCCUUCCAAGACCUCCCUCUCCCUCUCCUCCCGAGGACACGCGGCGGCGAGCUUCCUCCCACGACAUGUCUCCACCACCACCAUGGCAUGCAUGCGGCCAGAUCUGAUGGCGGCGCGACCGGGCAGGCCAGAGCCGCUGCAUACUGCUCUUCUUCUCCACCAUGGCGGCCAAAGAGGGUGCAUGUGGCGGUGGGUCACUGGAUCUAGCAGCAAGCGGUUGGAUCGGGCGACUGGCGGCCUGAUCUACCGACUGCGCGUGGUCUAGGCUCCUUCCUCUUCCCCAAUGGCGCCGGAGAGGCAGCUGGAGCUAGGGCGACGGACCGACAGUGGCAGCACGAGCUCUAGAUCCGUGCGGCCCAGAUCCGGGCCCGUGUGGGUUUUUUCUUUUUUUUUGUUUAUUUUAAUCCAUUAAUGGAGGCGGGCAAACAAACCGCCUCCUUUUAUCCUCCAUUUACCGCGACCUUCAAUUGGAGGCGUUUUGUGUGCCCGCCUUGCAAAAUCAAUUUUGCCCGCCUCGGUUAAGGAUUAUUGUAGUAGUGGCAAGGAAUCCUUUAGUCAGAGCUUGUUCAAAUUCCAACUAUUUCUUAGAAGUAGUAAAACCAAAGCAAUGGCUCUUCAGUUCAAGUAGCCUAGAAGAAAUGCCCCAAUGCUAAUGAUUAUUGCAUUUCAUCUAUUUUCACUAUUUCUGCACAUAAUGUGCAAAUCUACAAUAAGGUGAAUGCUCACCCUAGUUGGUAUUUUAUUUCAACAUUGAUUUUAUGAAUCAAGGAUCUCCAAAGUACUAUUAAAAUGUAACUUAUGAAAGUGCAGCACGCUUCAAUGAAAAAAUCUUAAAAAGAACCAGCACUACUAACAAGAAUAAACUUGACUACAUCAAGGAACGUGUAUAAUGUUUUUAUUUCCUUAAAUAAUACAUUGCAGAAAUGAGGUUAGUUAAUUAUGAUUUGGCAUAAGUGAUAACAUACUAAACAUUGUUAUAUUUAUACGUAUAUUAACAGAUGCUUCACUAACGAUGAAUUUGAGCUUUCUAAAGUUUUAGUAUAUAUACCCUCUAAAAUAUAAGAACUUCCAGCAUUUAAAUUUUGUCACAAAUAUAAUUACUCUGUCAGUCCAUCAGGCUCAACUCCACCCGCUAUGCAAUUUUCUAUUUAAAAAGAAAAAGUCUACUUAACACCCUACUCUUGGAAAUUGUCUAAUCCAGAGUCUCACCAAUAAACCAGUCACUACACUUUAAAUUAUUAUUAUUAUUAUUAUUAUUAUUAUUAUUAUUAUUAUUAUUAUUAUUAUUAUUAUUAUUAUUAUUAUUAUUAUUAUUAUAUAUAUAGGGAAAUUCGUUCAUAUCUAUAUAUAUAUAUAUAUAUAUAUACAUAUAAUAACAUGUCUAAAUAACCCUCAAAACAGAUUUGAAUGCAAUUUUGCUCACUUGCAUAUUACAUAUGUUCUGAUAUGCGUUGAGUCAAAAUAAAAACGGGGAAAAAGUCUAUGCAGCCCCCCCCUCCCUAAUAUAUCAACCCUUAAUAUUUUACGAAGUUUUGCCACCUCAACGUCAUCUAGCACCCAAGUAAUUUGGCACAUUAGUGAAGCAGCCAUUAAAGCAACCUUAGGGAUUACUUAGAUGGUUUUUAAUACUGUAAGGGGUAGAAUACCUGAUAUUACAUGUGAGAGAGUGAAGUAGACAACUAAAAAUAGUUAGGGGGGAUUGAAUAGACUUUUUCAAUACUAAAACCAACCAUUUAUGUCAUGGAAAUUUAGCCAACAACUGACAGAAUAGUCAAUGAAGAGUGGUUUAACAAGAGGCAGCAUGGUGGACUUUAGCAUUACAGUUCCAUUUUUCCUAAAUUUUUUUGGGAAGUCCUUAUAUUUUGGGAGGGGCUUGACUUUUUAAUUUUUCCAAUUUAGGAACAUAAAAAUAAAAUUAUGUAAAUUUUAUCUUCUCUCUAAUAGUACUUUACAAUGAUUUCCCAAUAAAUUAAAUCCAUAUCAGCUAUAACCAUAUAAAGAAUGUGGAAGAGACAACAAAAAAUAUAGAAAGUUUAGCUUCUGAUCAAGACCAAGUCAGUGCGCUUCAAGAUACAUGCAGAUGGGCCUGCUUGGUUGGGUGGCUAACCACCAAUCAAGCUUUAGAAAGCCACCUUUAGGCUGUUUGGUUGCUUGUUUGGAGUCCAAAGCCAGGAUCCAUUGAGCCACCAACCACCCUCUAGCUAGGCUCCAGAAAAAACACGGGGGGUGGUCUUUUUUGGGAGCCUAGAUUGGCUUAGCUUUGGUGGUGGUCUUUUUUGGGAGCCUAGAUUGGCUUAGCUUUGGUGGUUGUUCUCCUCAGCUCCCAUCUCAGCCAUGCUCAACUCUCUGAAUUCACCUAUGGCAAGCUCUGCAUCUUCCCCAACUCCAGCAGCCUACAUUUGCUCCUCCUCCAGUGGCCCACAUCUCUUCCGGUGCUCCUCCCAUAUGCAAACUUCGAAGGCAAGCCCCCGCGGCAGAAGCCCCAUGCGUUGCCGGGCCAGGUGGCGUGCCCGACAGCAAGAGUGGAGUCCUCCAGGCAGUGUCGCGGACGUACUCACCAUGCUCGGUAGUUCCUCCUCUAAGCGGUGAAGAAGUUCCCUCACUAGUGCAGCAUCAUUUGUGCCAGCUCCAUGCCCUCGUCCUCUACAGCUAGGCUCUGCUUCACCACCUCGAUGAUAUGCGUGUCGACGGGGUGGAGGCAGGAGUUGUUUGCCCCUGCCUUGAUGUUGAUCUUUGGAGCCGCAUCACCCUUCUUCUUGCGGGGGAAGUGCUGCAUUUGCAUGUUCAGGGAGAAGAGCCUCCAGCCAAGGAGACGCACAGUGCGACGGGAGCACGCACGUCCUCCUCUAAGCACAAUUGAAAUUUGGGCUUGCACGAAUGUGGAGGUGAUGGUCCAGUUUGAGGAGAUGGAGGCACCUCAUUGUCAACAAGGCUGCCGACUACAAGCAGAGUGUGCUUGUUGCCAUCACUGACAGGCGGUGCACGCACGGUUUCCGUGCCGCGAUGGUCUAUCCAAUUGGCCUGGUGGUCUCAAUCACCCUGCUUGUUGAGCAGCCACACAAUUGCCUGCAUUCCUGCGAAGCUCAAGACCUCGGAGCAGCGAGAGGGGUAGAUAGGAGUUGUGCGAGGUUCUCAGGGCCGACCUAGGCAAGGGCGCGACUGAGAUCCUCAUCAGUGAAGAGCAGAGCAGCUAGCACCACCAUGAUGGAGCUCACCACCUGUUCAAUAGAAUGCUUUGAAGGAGGUAACCUUACCGGGCUAAGAAUGUGGUGAUUCUACACAAGGCAAGGCAAGUAACCAAACAAACUCUUAUAGAAACUAGGCCAGGGAUAGGUCUAGCCAAACAAACCCAUGUGGGCUUGCUAGGGACAGGUCUAGCCUAACCAUGCUCCAAUCCUAGCCAUGCUCCAACUAAGGCGGGAAACCAAAUUAUAUAUUGUAGGGCAGGUCUAGCCUAGCCAUGCUCCAAUCCUAGCUAUUAGAUUGGAGAGAUUAUCUAUUGUGUUAUCUAGCACUCCCUCCAUUCCAAACUAUAAGUUAUUCAAACUUUUUUGAGUUAGAGCAUCUCAAAUUUCACCAAAACUAUUAAAAUAAUUACAAAAUAUUUGACAUCUAAUUGUGCUUAUUUUGUAUCCUAAUAAUUAUUAUUAAUAUUUUAUUAUAUAAAUUUAGUCAAACUUUAUAUAUUUUGACUCAUCAAAAAAAUUAGAAUAAUUUAUAUUUAAGAUGAAAGGAGAAUACGAUAUGGAUAUGGACUGAUGCACAGUUCUUGUGGCUAUGUUUAUCCCUACCCUUUGAUAUUACAAUAGAUGGGUCUACAACAGCCCUAAUUUCUUACCGAGCCCCGCAUGGGGACCGAUGAGAAUGUAUAUGUGAGCGAGACAACUCAUAGGCCCUGUUUGGUUGAGCUGUGACUUUUAGAAAAGCUGUUGUGAGCUGUGACUUUUAAAAAAGUAGUUGUGAGAAAGAAGCUAUGGUAAAAGCAAAAGACCAUUUUGUUGCGCAACUGCGACUUUUGGAAAAACUAUAGAAUGGACCCUACAUGUCAUCCCCACCUAACUCAAUCCCUCUCUGUUGGGAGUUCAACCACGCCUUUGCCCCGAGCUGCAUGAGAGAGAGAGGAAGUAAUUCAACCGCGAUGACCGAACCUUCAUACCACCAACCUUCGGACAUUGAGGGACGAAGGUUCCGAAAAAACUUAGCACUGAUGCAGAUCGGUUUAGUGACACAUGUGUGUAGGAACCGACUUCGAGCGGAGGAUCGCGGCGGGAAGGAGCCCAUCCUUUAGUUCUCGCGCGACGAAAGAUAUGUUGUCCUGAACAUGGGCGAGCCAAAGAAGCCUCGCGAGGCGGUCUAAGGUCCCUCGGUGGCUGCACGGCAGAGGAUCCAAAGGCCUCGGUGAAGCAUGCGCGAAGGUUCGGGCUGCAACAGGAACAGGGCUCCGACGGGCUGGCCUGUAAUGAGCCUGCAGUUUGAAUUUACCUAAGUAGCCCGAUAGGGUGUAGACUACGGUGGUGGAAUAUGCUAGAAUAUUCCCCCACCAUCAUGGGGUACUUUUGUAACGGAUUCCGGUCGGGAUCCGUGCCUUAUAAAAGGGGGUUGUAAAUGCUCUUUGAGGAGUUAGUUGAAACCAAUUUAUUGAUACACUGUCUGUUCUAGGGUUUCGAGCUUGACUAUUCUCAUACUCAAGCCUCUUGCAGCAACGAGCGAGCGGGCUCGACUAACCAUCGUGUUCGGAGGUGCACUAGCCACUUCCAACACUCUCUCACUGACGAGUGGCCCCACUCAUCAACGUCUUCCUCUUCCUUGUUCCACUUCGUGCACUGGGAGUCUAGAGCCCAUUGGCCUAGACCUCGCUUCCCUUGCUCCAUCGAGGAUGUAGGAAACAUGCCGCCAUAGGGAGCAGGAAGAGGACAUGCAUCAGGAGCUCCUAUGGCCACCACCACGCGUUAGAGGAAGAGGCUCAUGCUGGCCACCAAAGCUCACACGUGCCCAAGCAGAGGCCGGCCUGCGCCCGACACCGCACGUCGGAGGAAGAGGCUGCGCUGGCCGCUGGUGCUCCUGUGCAGUCGAGCUCGACCUAGGGUUGCGGGGCUGCAUGGGGGAGUUGGCUGGCCACGAACCUGAGGCGGGGGCUGUGGGCGCCGUCAGAGUGGGGCACCGGCAUGGUCUAGGCCAUGGAGGUGGCGGCGGAACCGGGCGCUUGCAAGGUAUCUGGGUGGCGCGGGUAGGAGUCACAGUGGAGAGAUGUCACCGACUAGAAAGAACGAGGAAAUAUCGAACCGGUAUGUUCAUAAUCAAUGGUAAGUGGGUAAUUCUUUAAACUAGAAGUAGUUGAGAGUAGGGGGUGAGGCUUUGUUUAGUUGAGGACGUGAAAAGGAUUUAUAUACUGUAGCACUUUCAUUUUUAUUGGACAACUAUUGUUUAAUCAUGGACUAACUAGGCUUAAAAGAUUCAUCUCGCAAAUUACAGGUAAACUAUGGAAUUAGUUAAUUUUUUAUAUAUAUUUAAUGUUUCAUGCAUGUGCCGCAAGAUUCGAUGUGACGAGAAAUCUUAAAAAGUUCAUUUCAUUUAAUUGGCUUUUGGCUUUUGUAAAAACAAAAGUAGCUAAUUGCUUUGUAGCGCUGUAAACAUGUGGUUUUUUUGCCCCAGCAUGCACAUGUGCAGGGAAAAUACAAAUCAUACAUAGGUCAUAUGCUCAAAAUAUUGUAUAGGAUUUUGCAUCCACGCAGAGUAUUGUUUAUAUUACUACCAGUUUUUUUCUUGUCUAUAAGUUUGUUUCAUUUAAUUGGCUUAGCUGCUUGUAGGUGAUCGGAAAUGGAAAUAAUGAUGAAAAAAAUGUUGACAGACUUAAGGAGAUUGGAAUGGAAAUUAUAGCAAAAUGUGAUGGUUUGCCACUUGCUGUUAAAGUAAUGGGAGGCCUCCUACGCCAGAAAAAUACGAGACAAAGAGACUGGGAAAAAAUCCUAAAUGAUUCUAUAUGGUCAGUGUCCCAAAUGCCUGAAGAGCUAAACUAUGCAGUAUACAUUAGCUACCAAGAUUUAAAUCCAAAUUUGAAGUCUUGCUUUCUGCACUAUGCCCUCCUCACCCAGAACACAGUGUUCUAUGAUGACAACAUUGUUGCCAUGUGGAUUAGUGAAGGAUUUGUUCAUGGAAACAGCACAUGUGAUUUAGAAGCACUAGGAAAAGACUACUAUGGUGAGUUAAUAGCUAGGAACCUUAUAGAGCCGGAUCAAUUGUACUUGGACCAGGCAGUCUGCAAUAUGCAUGAUGUUGUUCGCUCAUUUGCUCAAUAUGUAUCUAGAGAUGAAGCACUGGUAGCUCAGAAAAUUGAAGUUGGCCUAACCAAUAAACUUAAUUCGCAAAAUGUUACUCGGUUAUCACUGGAAUGCAAAGAAUCAGAAUCAAAUGAGCUAGAAUGGAGUUCUCUACAAGCAAAUAGAUCACUGCGAACAUUGAUUUUAGUUGGGAAGAUGAAGAUCAACCGAGGUGAUUCGUUGUUGUCUUUUCCAUGUUUGCGGACCCUACAUAUAGAAGAUGGAAAUUUUGAUGCUUUGUCUAAAUCUUUGGUCCAACUCAAACACUUGAGGUAUUUGUCCAUAAGAGGCAGUGACACAUCUAGGCUGCCAAAAAGAAUUGCCAUGAUGAAAUUCCUGCAGUGCAUUAAUAUUUCUUACUGUAAAAGUUUGGUGAAGCUUCCACGUGACAUUGGAGAGUUACGGCAGCUCAGGUAUUUAAGCCUUGUUGACUCAGGAAUAAAUAGUAUACCGAAGAGUUUCGGUGGUCUAACUAAUUUGAGGUUAUUGUUUGGGUUUCCUGCCCAUGUGGAGGGUGACUGGUGCAGUUUGGAAGAACUAGGACCCCUUAACAAGCUCAUGCGUCUUGAUAUAGAUGGUCUGGAGAAUGUAUCCUCUUCCGCAUUUGCUAUAAAGGCCAGGCUUCGUGAAAAGGUGCGCCUCAGCUAUCUGGUCUUAAAGGGCACCAGUACACGUCGAGGUCCUCACAGGCUGGUAAAAGAGGUAGAGCAGCAACAAAUCCAGAAGGUGUUUGAUGAGCUCUGCCCUCCACCCUGCUUAGAAACUCUGCUUAUUGAAGGGUACUUUAGCCAACAACUUCCAAAGUGGAUGAUGCCUACAAAAAUUUCGUCCCUUGGAAACUUGAGGAAUCUUGAGAUGGAAGACUUGCCUUAUUGCACGGAUCUACCUGAUGGCUUGUGGCAGCUCCCCAGCUUGGAGUUCCUAAAGAUUGAAAGCGCCCCAGGCAUCAAGCGUGUUGGGCCAGAGUUCGUACUACCAC
rnacentral:lncRNA from 1 species